GUGAUGUCGGCAAGGGUGGACGAUGCGGCCCGAGUCCUGGUAACAGGAUAAGCCGAAAGAUCAC
ncrna:unclassified sequences L4-Archaeoglobi ribosomal protein leader